rnacentral:rRNA from 1 species
GACGAACGCUGGCGGCGGGCUUAACACAUGCAAGUCGAACGGAAAGGCCCUGCUUUUGUGGGGUGCUCGAGUGGCGAACGGGUGAGUAACACGUGAGUAACCUGCCCUUGACUUUGGGAUAACUUCAGGAAACUGGGGCUAAUACCGGAUAGGAGCUCCUGCUGCAUGGUGGGGGUUGGAAAGUUUCGGCGGUUGGGGAUGGACUCGCGGCUUACCAGCUUGUUGGUGGGGUAGUGGCUUACCAAGGCUUGGACGGGUAGCCGGCCUGAGAGGGUGACCGGCGACAUUGGGACUGAGGGACGGCCCAGACGCGUACGGGAGGCAGCAGUGGGGAAUAUUGCACAAUGGGCGGAAGCCUGAUGCAGCAGCGCCGCGUGCGGGAUGACGGCCUUCGGGGUGUAAACCGCUUUCGCCUGUGACGAAGCGUGAGUGACGGUAAUGGGUAAAGAAGCACCGGCUAACUACGUG